rnacentral:rRNA from 1 species
CCUACGGGUGGCAGCAGUGAGGAAUAUUGGUCAAUGGGCGAGAGCCUGAACCAGCCAAGUCGCGUGAAGGAUGACGGCCCUACGGGUUGUAAACUGCUUUUGUCAGGGAGCAAUUGGGUCCACGCGUGGGCUUAGCGAGAGUACCUGCAGAAAAAGCAUCGGCAAACUCCUGGCCAGCAGCCGCGGUAAUACGGAGGCUGCGAGCGUUAUCCGGAUUUAUGGGGUUUAAGGGGUGGGUAGGCGGAAUAUCAAGUCAGCGGUAAAAAUUCGGGGCUCAACCCCGUCGUGCAGUUGAAACUGAUGUUCUUGAGUGGGCGACAAGUAUGCGGAAUGCGUGGUGUAGCGGUGAAAUGCAUAGAUAUCACGAGGAACUCCGAUUGCGAAGGCAGCAUACCGGCGCCCAACUGACGCUGAAGCACGAAGGCGUGGGUAUCGAACAGGAUUAGAUACCCCAGUAGUC